rnacentral:ncRNA from 1 species
UUAAGUUUAUAAUUUAUUUUAUAAACGACAAUGGAUGUGAUGCCCAUGUAAUUUGUAACAUAGUAAAUUAGGAGGAUCUUCGAUCACCUGAUGCCGCGCUAGUUACAUAUAAAAGCAUUAUUUAAUACAAUGACAAAGCCUAGAAUCAAUUGUAAACGACUUUUGUAACAGGCAAGGUGUUGUAAGUGGUUGAGCAGCUGCCAUACUGCGAUCCACUGAAGCUUAUCCUUUGCUUGAUGAUUCGA